CGAAGACAGAAACCGGCCGGUGUGGGCAUGGCCGCUGUGAGACCAGCCCCUGCCUGUGGGGAAGAGGCCUUCCACAGGGAGCCUGCCCCGGACCCCUUGGCCCUGCUUGGGGACAGCUGCCUUUGUGGGAACAGGAGGAGCUGUGGGGGUUUGGGGAGCCAGACCCCCACUGAAAGGCUCAGCCUGCCCUGCUUCCCACCUGGGGCUGUCUCCAGGUUACCCCGGGCUCCUCCCUAAACAAAGGAGGUUCUGGAACUGCAGGGGUGGCUGGGCCCAGUUGUGGAUGUGGCCCCGGCCUGUCUGCCCACCCCCAGGCCUGCUGCUGGUAGAUGACCCCUGGUGUUAGGGCCCCAGGGGGCAGAACUUCCAGCAUGGCUGGUCACCACAGACAGUGGGCCUGAGAGGUGCUGCCAGCUGGUGGGAGUAGGACAUGGGUGGAGGGGCCUCCAGCCCAUGGUUGGAACAGCCAGACAUGGACAUGGACAUGGACAUGGACAGGCCCGAUGAGGAAGGACCCCUGAGACGUAACAACAUACAGGUUCCUCAGCGCAGAGCCGAUGGAAGACCCGGACCUCAGCCACCUCCCGGGGCCCGGCCCAGAAUGCCCCAGUUUCAGGCAGAGAGCAUCCGUAGCAACCAUCCCUGCGGGACAUCAAGUAGGGGGAGCCAUGCCCCAGUGUUGCAUCCUCGGGUGGUCCCGGCCAUCCCCGACUUGCUGGCGACAGCCUUGGCCGCAGGGGGGGAAGGGAUCCCUGGAGCUAGGCCUGGGGCUCUGGGCUAUGCCCAUUGGCCCCAGGCGUACUUAGAGAACCAGCAUGCAGCCUUGUUCGGGGCUGGAGAUGGGAGGAUGAGAGUGAGCGUGCCGGGGAGGCGCAGUCCAUUCUUUCCUGACCCUCAUCGAGGACGGCAGGCCGGGCCCCACAUGCGAAGACACCGAAGAUCCCGCGCCCUCCCCGAGCUGCUCCUGGCCACGCUCGCCAGGACCGAAGGUGAAUUCUCCGGAGCAGGCUCCCAGGCCCUGGCCCAGGCCCCCCAAGCCUCCCAGGCAGCGGCCGAAUCCAACAGCGGCGACAGAGCUGGCCCUGCCCCCUGGCCCCCCAGACCCCAAGACCCCGCCGAAGGCCUUCCACAACCGGCCGGAAGAGGCGAAGCCCGAGCUCUGGGCGCCUGGAGCCCCCCGAGGAACAUGUAACAAGGCUUUGAAAGAACUGGAGCCCGCCCCCCCCCCCGCCCUCACUCCCGUCCUUCCUGCCUCCCUCCUCCCCCUCCCUCCCCUCGAGCCCUUCUAUCUGCCCCCCCCUCUCUGCCUAAAGGCUCUCACCAGCAGCCUCCUCACGGGACAUAGGAGAAAGGAAGGAGGUCCUCAGGGCCUUCCCGGACCCCUUGCUGUGCCCUCCCUACCGCGGAUUUAUUCUUUGAAAGUUUCCUUAUGUUACUCAACGUUUGGUCUGAAGCUACGAGAGCUCUCAUGAGUGCAAGAAGAAAAAUAAACACCUUCUCUAUUGAGCCUGCCUUUGUCCUUUGCUCUCUUGCCUCCUCCCAAGCCCCUUUCAGGGGCCCCUCCCGUGCCCUGGCCCGGCCCACCACCA
ensembl:lncRNA